rnacentral:tRNA from 1 species
CACGGGGUAGAGCAGUUGGUAGCUCAUCGGGCUCAUAACCCGAAGGUCGCAGGUUCAAGUCCUGCCCCCGUUA